GACGAACGCUGGCGGCGUGCUUAACACAUGCAAGUCGAACGGAAAGGCCCUGCUUUUGUGGGGUGCUCGAGUGGCGAACGGGUGAGUAACACGUGAGUAACCUGCCCUUGACUUUGGGAUAACUUCAGGAAACUGGGGCUAAUACCGGAUAGGAGCUCCUGCUGCAUGGUGGGGGUUGGAAAGUUUCGGCGGUUGGGGAUGGACUCGCGGCUUAUCAGCUUGUUGGUGGGGUAGUGGCUUACCAAGGCUUUGACGGGUAGCCGGCCUGAGAGGGUGACCGGCCACAAUGGGACUGAGAUACGGCCCAGACUCCUACGGGACGCAGCAGUGGGGAAUAUUGCACAAUGGGCGGAAGCCUGAUGCAGCAACGCCGCGUGCGGGAUGACGGCCUUCGGGUUGUAAACCGCUUUCGCCUGUGACGAAGCGUGAGUGACGGUAAUGGGUAAAGAAGCACCGGCUAACUACGUG
rnacentral:rRNA from 1 species